CUAGACUUACCCACUGGCUGGCAGACACUCCUCUGAGCCUCUCCUGCUGGUGACCUCUCCUCACACCAUCCAGCCUCUGCUAUGGUGCUAUGAAGGCUGUUCAGAAACACCUUGAAAAGGUGUCCAUUUUGCUGCUAUGUGGACAACAGAGUAGAAGACCUUCCUGUGCCCCUUACCAGGACCCAAGAGGCACAGGAACAAGUCGAGAAGCAGGAGAACACUCAUGAUGGGAACACCGCUUCUACCUCAGGGGAUUCGAUGGAAGUCCAGGGGGGUUCCUUAGCACACAGCUUUGAAGAUGGGGAGUUCAUUCCCAAAUCGGC